AUUGAACGCUGGCGGCAGGCCUAACACAUGCAAGUCGAGCGGGGUUUUCGGACCUAGCGGCGGACGGGUGAGUAAUGCGUAGGAAGCUGCCCGAUAGAGGGGGAUACCAGUUGGAAACGACUGUUAAUACCGCAUAAUGUCUACGGACCAAAGUGUGGGACCUUCGGGCCACAUGCUAUCGGAUGCGCCUACGUGGGAUUAGCUAGUUGGUGAGGUAAUGGCUCACCAAGGCGACGAUCUCUAGCUGGUUUGAGAGGAUGAUCAGCCACACUGGAACCGAGACGCGGUCCAGACUCCUACGGGAGGCAGCGAUGGGGAAUAUUGGACAAUGGGCGCAAGCCUGAUCCAGCCAUGCCGCGUGUGUGAAGAAGGCCUUCGGGUUGUAAAGCACUUUCAGCGAGGAGGAAGGGGUGUGCGUUAAUAGUACACACCUUUGACGUUACUCGCAGAAGAAGCACCGGCUAACUCUGUGCCAGCCGCCGCAGUAAGAC
rnacentral:rRNA from 1 species